rnacentral:sRNA from 1 species
CCGUAGCCAUUUUUUUUCAAG